CACGUAGGGGGCAAGCGUUGUCCGGAUUUAUUGGGCGUAAAGAGCUCGUAGGCGGCUUAGUAAGUCGGGUGUGAAACCUCCAGGCUCAACCUGGAGACGCCACCCGAUACUGCUGUGGCUAGAGUCCGGAAGAGGAGUGUGGAAUUCCUGGUGUAGCGGUGAAAUGCGCAGAUAUCAGGAGGAACACCGGCGGCGAAGGCGGGUCUCUGGGCCGUAACUGACGCUGAGGAGCGAAAGCGUGGGGAGCGAACAGG
rnacentral:rRNA from 1 species